rnacentral:lncRNA from 10 species
CAAAAAUUAGCCGAGCGUGGUGGCAGACGCCUAUAAUCCCAGCUUCUCAGGAGGCUGAGGCAGGAGAAUUGCUUGAACCCAGGAGGCGGAGGUGUAGUGAGCUGAGAUCGCACCACUGUACUCCAGCCUGGGCAACAGCAUGAGACUCCGUCUCAAAAACAAAAAACCACAAUAAUAAAACAAUAUGAUAUUGUUGGUAGGAAAGACACAUUAGUGCAACAGAAUCCGGAAAUACCACAAAUGUAGUAUUUUAUUUCAAUCAGGAAAAGAUGAUUUCGUUGAUAAAUGGCGUAGAAUCUUAAAUUUAAACAACAAAACAUUUAGAAUAUAAUUUAGGAGACUAUAAGGGUAUUCUAGGGGUUGAGAGACUGCAAAGACAGGAACCUCAAACUGUAAAAAGAUAUACUUGAUUACCCCGAAAAUUAACACUGAUAAAAGUCAAGAGACAAUGAUAGAUGAGGAAAAAAUAUUUGCCAUACAUGAUAAAGAGCCAAUACCUGUAAUAUACAAAUACAUCUUAAAAACUAAUUAGAAAAAAGGCAAAAACAAUAGAAAAUGAGCAAAAAAUAGGAAUGGACAUGUCUCAGAAGAACAAAUCCAAAUAGCCAAGAAAUAUGAAAGGGUGCACAACCCCUCUGCUGUGGUUUUUUAAAAUAAAUAGAAAAGAUGUUGGAACCCCCACAACACUUGAAACCUGGAGAGAGAGGUGACUGUGAUCUCAGCCAUGUAUGGUUAUAAUUUUUUCUGAGAUAAUAAAUUAGACCUGCUUGUUUUUCUUGUUCUGUACAAUUAUUGGAGAGAAUUAAACAUGGGACAAAAACCUGCUGCCUUCUUAAUGACCCUUCUUAUAGAUAACUUCCCUUUUGUUGUCCUGCUUUACUUAGACCAGAUGACAGCAAACCCAUGACUAUUACACCCUCUGUAAAAAAUGUUAAAUGUAUGCCUCCCAAAAAGAAACACUGCUUACAACCAAAUUAUUUAUUAUUAUUAUUUCAAUUUGAGACAGAGUCUGGCUCUGUCGCCCAGGCUGGAGUGCAA